rnacentral:rRNA from 1 species
UACGGGGGGGGCAAGCGUUGUUCGGAAUUAUUGGGCGUAAAGGGCGCGUAGGCGAUUUGAAAAGUCUUGUGUGAAAGCCCCGAGCUUAACUCGGGAAGUGCACAAGAAACUGUUGAAUUUAAGUUCCGGAGAGGAAGGCAGAAUUCCCGGUGUAGCGGUGAAAUGCGUAGAUAUCGGGAGGAAUACCAGUGGCGAAGGCGGCCUUCUGGACGGAUACUGACGCUGAGGCGCGAAAGCCAGGGGAGCAAAGCGGG